ensembl:snRNA U2 U2 spliceosomal RNA
AUCACUUCUCUGCCUUUUGGCUAAGAUCAAGUGUAGUAUCAAUAGAUGCAGAAAGAGCUUUUGACAAAAUACAACACCCAUU